rnacentral:tRNA from 1 species
GUCGGUGUGGCUCAGUUGGUUAGAGCGUUGGUCUCAUAGCAUGAUUUGACCUCAGGUCAGAGUAAUCCAAAGGUCGAGAGUUCGAGCCUCUCCACCGACA